rnacentral:piRNA from 1 species
UCUUAGUGUGUAUGCCUUGCUGCUAU